rnacentral:sRNA from 1 species
UUCCCCCAAAGCUGGCCUCUGCGGGCACCUUCCGGGUGCUGAAGGAGCCCCUUGCCUUCCUGCGAGCCCUGGAAUUGGCUGUACAAGAAACCUGGUGUUACUAUCAACUUCUGGUGAAGGCCUCAGGCUGCUUCCGCUCAUGGCAGAAGGCAGAGAAGAGCUGGUGUGUGCAGAGAUCACGUGGUGAGAAAGGAAGCAAAAGCUUUUUGCAAUCUUUGCAUUUGCAACAUGCGGUGGCUAUUCCGGAGGCCUGCGGCUGAGUGUGGACUGUGUCAACAAGACAGAAAGUAACCUCAGCAUCGACAUAGCGUUUGCCUACCCAUUCAGGUUGCAUCAGGUGACGUUUGAGGUGCCCACCUGCGAGGGAAAGGAACGGCAGAAGCUGGCAUUGAUUGGUGACUCCUCGUCUUCAGCAGAGUUCUUCGUCACUGUUGCUGUCUUCGCCUUCCUCUACUCUUUGGCUGCCACUGUCGUUUACAUUUUCUUCCAGAACAAAUACCGGGAAAACAACCGGGGCCCACUCAUU